AUUGAACGCUGGCGGCAGGCCUAACACAUGCAAGUCGAACGGUAGCACAGAGAGCUUGCUCUCGGGUGACGAGUGGCGGACGGGUGAGUAAUGUCUGGGAAACUGCCUGAUGGAGGGGGAUAACUACUGGAAACGGUAGCUAAUACCGCAUAACGUCGCAAGACCAAAGAGGGGGACCUUCGGGCCUCUUGCCAUCAGAUGUGCCCAGAUGGGAUUAGCUAGUAGGUGGGGUAACGGCUCACCUAGGCGACGAUCCCUAGCUGGUCUGAGAGGAUGACCAGCCACACUGGAACUGAGACACGGUCCAGACUCCUACGGGAGGCAGCAGUGGGGAAUAUUGCACAAUGGGCGCAAGCCUGAUGCAGCCAUGCCGCGUGUAUGAAGAAGGCCUUCGGGUUGUAAAGUACUUUCAGCGGGGAGGAAGGUGUUGUGGUUAAUAACCGCAGCAAUUGACGUUACCCGCAGAAGAAGCACCGGCUAACUCCGUGCCAGCCGCCGCGGUAA
rnacentral:rRNA from 1 species